CUAGAUUUACUCAAUUUGAAGAUACCAUCAAUUGUGAGACACAACAAAAAAUGGGAGGAAAUAACAAUUCACCAAAAUUUUAAACAUUCGAUCAAUAGUAAGGUGCUUCUCAAUUUCAUAAAUAUUAAAAUGUGAUGGGAAAAACUAAUCAGAAAAAGAGAAUAAUUAAAUGACUCCUAGGACUAGAAGAAAACCUCGAAAGGGUUAGGUUCUCCAUGCCAGGAAGCUGUGACCCCAGAGACAGUUUCUCAGCAUAAUAGAUUAACCUGCCUAUUACCAGCAAAGUCUGAUAGCGCCUCCAGAACUCUGAGAGAAUAAGUUUCUGUUUUAAGCUACAUAAUUUGUGAUAAUUUGUGACAGAAACCACAGAAGACAAAUACACCUGGUUUUA
rnacentral:lncRNA from 10 species